rnacentral:tRNA from 1 species
GGAGAGGUGGUCGAGUGGUUGAUGGCUCCGGUCUUGAAAACCGGCGUGGCAGCAAUGUCACCGUGGGUUCGAAUCCCACCCUCUCCG